AACUACUGGAAACGGUAGCUAAUACCGCAUAAUGUCGCAAGACCAAAGUGGGGGACCUUCGGGCCUCAUGCCAUCAGAUGUGCCCAGAUGGGAUUAGCUAGUAGGUGGGGUAACGGCUCACCUAGGCGACGAUCCCUAGCUGGUCUGAGAGGAUGACCAGCCACACUGGAACUGAGACACGGUCCAGACUCCUACGGGAGGCAGCAGUGGGGAAUAUUGCACAAUGGGCGCAAGCCUGAUGCAGCCAUGCCGCGUGUGUGAAGAAGGCCUUCGGGUUGUAAAGCACUUUCAGCGGGGAGGAAGGCGGUGAGGUUAAUAACCUCAUCGAUUGACGUUACCCGCAGAAGAAGCACCGGCUAACUC
rnacentral:rRNA from 1 species